AGCUCCUCUCAGGACCCAACCAAAGCAAAUCAACAUCCUCUGCAGCUCAAGACUUGACAACUAAACACCAGGAAGAACUUCCAGAUGUCAGGAUUCGAGGCAAAGGAUGAGGACUACUGGUUUGCCUGUUUGUCCUUGGAGGCUGGAGGCCAGGAUCUGGUUAUUUCUUGGAUUGGAUUCCUAAAAGUAGAUUAACAAGAUCAAGGGAUGACACAGAGUAAAUCAGCUCCGGGCCCUGCCCAUGAGCAGCAGGCAGGCACUGAUACCACCAGCUCCAGUGUGGAGUGAACAGUGCCACGGAAGAAGGUGACAAAGGGAGCUCAGAGGAGAGAGAAGAAUUGGGGCUUCCUGGAGGAAUCUGGGAGGCAGAGGAGGGGGCCCUGGAAGGACCUUCCUGGGUAACAAGGAAGGGGUGUUGGGACAGCAAUCCAGGCAGAGGGAACAGCAUAGCCAAAGGCCGGGAGGUGGGAGAGAGGCUGGCACAAUCGGGAACCGGGGUCUAGUUCCCAGAACGCUGGGUGGCUGUGCAGGCGGAAAGGGAGGGAAACCUGGGAGGUCCACAGUGGCCAGAUGGUAACAGGCAGGGCAUGCAGAGUGCUUGAUCUUAUCCCGAGAGCACUGGGGAACCAUUGAGGGUUUAAACAAAUGAGGAAUCUGGUUUGCUUUGCUCGUUAGAAUGCUCACUUGGGGAAAGCAUGGACAGGGGAUGAGGGGCAGAGCUGGCAGCUCUGUGGUCCCGGACAAGGGCAGUGGCUUCUAGCCAUGUUCAGAGGGGAGACUGGAGGCGACCUCACGGGGGCGGCUGUAGGUGGGACGGGUGGUUGCUGGUGACCCAAGGUCAGGACCCAGGAUGAGUCCAGGCACAGUCUCCUCCUCCCACCCUGAACCCCCAGGGGCUCCCAGGCCUCCGGGAGCACGCCUCAGUUUGCUGUAAUGGUGCUCUCUGCCUGGCCUUACCCACCUCUAUGGCCUCAGCCCUCCUACCCCCCUACGUGCGCCUGUGCUCUAGCCUAACUGGUGUCUCCGUUGGUCCCGAGCUCACAUGAACCACUCAAACAUCCAAGCCUUUAGACGGUUAAUUACUGUCCCCCAGUCCUCCCACCUCUUCAGUGAAGGCGGCCCCGCCUGCCUCAGCUCCCCUGUCCCCACUAUCCACCUUUCCUCCCCUUCCUCUAUAUCCUUCGUUUAAAGGCCUGGACGGACCAUGUC